rnacentral:tRNA from 2 species
GGAUCGGUAGUUCAGUUGGUUAGAAUGCCGCCCUGUCACGGCGGAGGUCGCGGGUCCGAGUCCCGUCCGGUCCG